UGUUUUCUAAAUUUAAAAAAAUUAUGGAUUGUAGAUAAAAUUUUCUACUUUAAAAUGGGUUUAAAUUUAAUGUUUGGCAAAUAUAAAACUGGCUGAGAGUAAAACGAUUUAGUUUAAGAAUUAAAUGUAUGUUUUGCAAAUUGCCUUCGUAUUGUAACUGGUGUCAACCGAAUAAAGUCUAUUUUGUUUUUAAAAUAUUUAUGACUCCGAAAAUCAAAAAUUUUUGUUUCAAUAUCGGCAUGACAUGGAACAGCCAAAUAAUCUUCAAAGGACUUGGUCUGUAAAUGAAUGAAUGUGUAAGGCAGAUGUAGCUACUCAUCGGCGAAAAAGUAUGUUUUACAAUUUAAUUUGAACUCGUUUGAGUUCAUAACAAAUCUAUACGAGUUCGAAUUCAGAGAUAUAAUGAAAUAAAUCGAAAGUAGUUAUUACAUCCUAGCAGUUCGAUCGGACAGACUCGAAUUUUAUAUAUAACCUACCUCUUAGGAUACCCCUACUCAAAUGACUAGCUAUUUAAAAAUGUGUUUGUUCUACGAUAAAGUCAAUCGUCACCCCAUAGAUUACGAAGAGACUGACAAAAAGCUUAAGUUUGUUUGCCUACUCUCUUGCUUACAAAGAGACAAUUAUCUUCAUCUUUGUUUACAAAGUGUACAUCUGUGACAAAAGACGAAUUAGAACCAAUCAGAUCACUGGAAAUCGCUCCCUGCUAGCCCGUCGUGGUUAGCACCAAAACCUUCGCUGGUAUGUCAACAAUCGGCCCUACUCCAGUCUCUGUGGACCAAGCGGUGACCCCUGGUUGCACCGUCGAACUCGAUUUCGGGUCCAACUACUGCUCUCUCAUCCGCCCUCAGGGAUCUCGAAACCCUUCCUUGGAGAAUUGUAGCUCGGUGCAAAGCUCGAUGUGAUCCCUGUCAACAAGAUACCUCAUGACCCUGAGGCGAUUCUGGAGUACCUUCAGAGCUGUGCGUCUAUCGGGGUGACGACACGACCCCAAACCAUCGCAGAGCACGGACAGAGGAAAUCCAGAUGACCCGGCCGAUACUGACGAAAUGAAGAACUCCUAAAAAAGCUCAACCUUGCUUGGAGAUCUCUUCACUAGCCAGUGCCACGACGACGAUCCUCUGAAUACUGAAACAGACGGUGUCGAUGUAACCGCCAUCUACGACUCAGACCAUGGUGAAGGUGAUCCAAAUGAACCUUAACCACUCUAAAGCAGCUUCGAUUAGCUAACAUCUAAAAGCACUGUUUUAAUGAUAGUGACGAUAUGUCAUCUGCUCUAGAAAACUUCUGUUUAAUUAAUUGGGUUUAAAUCCUACAAUAUUCGAUUUACGUAAUUUGCAGGGGAAAGAAUUUUUUAGUUCUAAGAUAAUUUUUGUAAACAAUUCUAGGGAAUAAAGAUUAGAGUAAUUACAAAUAAAUAGAUCUAGUCCUAUGAAUGAUAUUGAGAUUCUUUAUAGAUACAUUCACUUCUCUUGGAGAACUAUUUGUGGAUUUUUUAUGAAAAUUUAAAUGAAAUGCAGGGAUCUUGAAUACCAAAAUCAAGCUGGUAGAGAGUGAGUCCAAACGAUUCAGAUAAAUUCGCAAUUCCUUCAUAAAUGUGCAAUUGUUAUAAAAUAUUAAUUUUUUAAAUUGCCAAAUAGUUCUCAAUAAAUUUUCACCAAAUUCUAGAAUCUAGAUUGAUCUGUUGUUGCCAAAAUACAUACAUACAUACAUACAUACAUACAUACAUACAUACAUACAUAUAAAAAUAAUAAGAUAAAUAAAAUUUACAAAUUUUUAAAUAUUCAAGUAAUAUGCAGUUCAAAAAAAAAAGCAAAAACAGUUCGUCAUUUCGAUCUAGUUUUUCAGAAAUAUAAAUAAACACAAAAACAAUUACAAUUACAUGAUAAAUCAGACACAACGUUCACAAUGUCUACUCCUCCACAUUCGUGUGUUUUUUUUGCUUAUUUUCAUUAUUUAAUAAUGUUUCUUUUUAAUUUUCAUGUGUUUUCCAAGAUUGUUUUUUUCUCUAUUUUUUCCUUAUUUUAGUAAAAUUUUAUAUGCCUAAGUAUUUUCUUUUUAUUUUGUAUAUAUUUUUAUUAUGUCUUUAUUGCAUUUUUUGCGUCUUUAUUGGUUUUUCGUGAGUGUGUGUAUUGAAAAGUGUCUGUGAUUUUUGUUUUUAUUUUUUUAUGAAGAAGAAGAGUAAAAUAUUAGUCACGUCAUGUGUAGAGCUUUUUUUACAUUUUAUUAUUAAUUCAUACAAUAAAAGAAAAUUAAAAUAUGAAAUUGUUUAUGCUAUGUUUCCACUGGCUUGCAAGCAACUAGAUUUAUGUCAAUCUCUUUAAAGUUGUUUCCUCUGAGCAAUGAAAACAUUCAGUUUGAAUGAAUAGCCCAUAGUUGCAUUUGUUGUUUGUUCCUAGAUACAACGCAGAAUUUCAUAUGAAAAUCUUGUUUUGUCAAAAAUAUGUAAAAAAUCUACAUGAUUAAUUUUAUUUAAUUUGCUCUCAAUGGAAACAUCUUAUUAAAUACAUAUGUAGUAGAUCUAAAAUCCAUUUUGCUUAUACCAUAAACUUUCGAUGGUUUGUGGCGUUGAUAACACUGUUUUUUGUAAAAUAAUGAGAAAACAAAUGUUAACCGUUAUUUUUUUAAUAUUUGUGAUAAAUAAAUAUGUAUUCCUGAUUAUUUCACCAGUCAUUCUUGUGUCACUUAUUCAAUCACUCAUUCCCUUAAUGCAGUUCAUUGUUUUGUUGAAGUGCUGUUGUUUCUUUUAUAACCUCCCUCCCGUAAUCACUUAAUCUUCUUAACGAAAAUUAUCUUAUUUACAAUAUUUAAUUGUUCAAACAUACAAACAAAUAUUGAAAAUGAUUAAUCUUUGGUGUUUUUUUUUUGGUUAAUUUUUUUAAGGCAUAAAAUGAAUUCAUUUCAGGAUUUAUUUUUUUUUUCUUAUUUGUCUGCAAAAACUUUUCAGAAAAUACCUAAAAACAUAAAUGAAAUAUUGUGUGAAUACAUAUGUUGUAUAGUAAGCCGAUACCAAGAAUUUUUUUUAAAUUUAAUUAUUAAAUCGAUUUAAGGCGAGUAAGAAAUGGACGAUAAUGCAUAAUUGUUUUAUAUGAGGGAAUUUCUCCGUUUUCAUGGGGUAAUUUUAUACCCAUUACAUUUAGGCAUUAAAUUUCCACAAGUCUGUUUAAGGCUAAUAGGUAUUUCCGCCUAGAGAUGAAUGAUAUUAUCUAAUGAUCGCAUAUAAUUGAUCGGACAAUCUUUAUUUGCUAUUCAAUAAUAAGAAAAAACUUCGGUAGAUAAGACAAGUUCAAAAUUUCAGAUUAAUAUAUCUAAUGGAGUUCCUAUUUAUACUUGAUCAAAAUGCUCCAAAAUAUACCGUAUAUUUGAAUUGUAUUUCAUAAAUGUGCUAUAAUUAACACCUUUUUGCGAGGCAUGUUAACUUCGUGAACUCACCACAUUUUGUUAUUAUUGCAAUCUUAGGUAAAAGUGGUGACCGCCGGGUCUAAAAACUGGUGAUGAAAAAAUUUAACCUUAACCUUUCUUUGGAAUGAUCUGACAAGAGGUUGAACAAGAUAAACACGUAAUCUGUUACCAUGGGAACCGGUAAACCACAUAGUAGAUUUUCAGACUUUGUACCGGUUAUUGAAGAGGUCACAUCAGAGUACAUGCCGUGGUUAAAGUUUAAACAUAAAUUCGCGGAAAGAGAAUGUAAGGAGCUACGACAGGUUAAGUCUAUAAUUUGGAACAAUUUCGCUGCUGUAUUCGAGACAACACAUGUCUCGCAGAGGAGUGACUGUGAUACUAAGCGAUAGAAAUGGGUUGGUGUUAAGUGUAUAUGAUAAGGGAUGGAUGUAACAGUGAAUCUAGAAUAAGUGUGUUUGGAUGUUAUUAUAUCAUACAUUACUAUAGUGGGGAUGUUAUUAUGCGUUUGUGCUGAUGCUUGUAACACCAAAAAUAUCGGUCCUAUACCAACCUUAAAGUAUACAAAUCGGGUUUGUCUAUCUGCAUAUUCCUGGGAAGCCCGAAUUGGGCUUUUGAGCUCAUAAUAAACUUAUUUUGAGAUAAGUCUAAAAGAUACUGUCAGUUUUCGUAAUAGUUGGGCUUGACUCCCAUAUAAAGUUUCCUUCUGAAAUUGCAAACUCAUUGGAGUAGCGUAUCAUAUGUUCAGAUAUGUCCGACUAUAUUUCUUUCUUGUUCAGUACGAUUAAGAGGUAUCUUAAAAGAGUGUCCCUCGAGACACUCUAAUAAGUAGAAUUUAUGUCCCAGUGUGCUCUGUUCAUUGUGAAUCAUUUUUUUUUAACCUAGAAAGCAGGCAUUGUAUUUUGAAUAACAAAUUCAUUAAAAUUUUGAAAUUUUUCAAGGAAAGAAAUUAUUUUUUAUAAAUAUUACAUAUAAAAUUAUCAAUAUAUUUUACUUAAUAUUAAUAAAGUUUUUUUUAGAAAUUGUUGUGACCUAUAAUGAUAACGAAAUAUUUAGAAAAUUCGAAAAAUUGUGUUGAAUAUAGUUUGUUGUUUUUGUCAUUCCAAAUGUGUUCCAAAGAUCUUAAGAGUGCAUCGAAAUAUUGGCUUCUGUUACUUAAUCGUUUCUCAGACCAGAUGGCCGUCAAUCGGUCAACAGAAGGUUUUGCAGGUGAGCAUAUAUAAUCCCGGUCGAGUAUUCUACAAACUUAACAUACAACAAACGUGCUCUCGGAGUAUCAAAGAAACUGGUUGUAUAUAAGCCUUGAACAUAUAAAAAGUUCCUUCGAAGAGCAUUCAGCGAGUUUUUGAGUUGGCAAUCAAAUGCCAAGUACAAGAUUUAACUUCGCAGUGUU